UCCAGCGAGAAGAGAAGGGAGGCUUUAGAAUCCUGGUGCUGCCCAGGCUGUGGGCUGGCUUGAUUUUGGCCCUGGAUUCCUCUGCUCAGCAGGAGACGGAGGUACCUGGAGGGAAGGUGGGCUCCAAAGCCCCAGAUCAAAGCAAAAAGAAAACUGCUGACAGCCAGCAAGUGUUCCCUGCUCUUAUUUGGUACAUCAUCACUGUCAACUUGGGACUGGUUUAGAAAGAUUCUUUUUGAAGACCUGAAGCUUUGGGCCACAGGAUCACUACAGCUGAGGUCCUCUGCAAAGGUCGCCAUGGCCAUGAUAGAAGCCCCAGUAGAAAAAGGUGGAAGGUGAAAGAAAGAAAGAA